AGAGUUUGAUUAUGGCUCAGAACGAACGCUGGCGGCAUGCCUAACACAUGCAAGUCGAACGUGAUCCGGGACUUCGGUUCCGGUGAAAGUGGCGGACGGGUGAGUAACGCGUGGGAACCUGCCCAGUGGUAGGGGAUAACCGCGGGAAACUGCGGCUAAUACCCUAUGUGCCCUGCGGGGCAAAGAUUUAUCGCCAUUGGAGGGGCCCGCGUCGGAUUAGGUAGUUGGUGAGGUAACGGCUCACCAAGCCAUCGAUCCGUAGCUGGUCUGAGAGGAUGAUCAGCCACACUGGGACUGAGACACGGCCCAGACUCCUACGGGAGGCAGCAGUGGGGAGUAUUGGACAAUGGGGGCAACCCUGAUCCAGCAAUGCCGCGUGAGUGAUGAAGGCCUUAGGGUUGUAAAGCUCUUUCGGCGGGGAAGAUGAUGACGGUACCCAGUAAAGAAGCCCCGGCUAACUCCGUGCCAGCAGCCGCGGUAAU
rnacentral:rRNA from 1 species